UUAGUCUUAUAAUUUAAGACUGGAAUGAAAGAGAAAAUUAAGAAGACUCUUUCUUAAUUGUAAUAUGAUGAAUUUUACUUUUUAGUAAAAAGGCUAAAAUGAAAUUUUUAGACAAGAAGACCCUAUAAAUCUUUACAUGUGAGAAAAUUUAAAAAUUUUAAUCAUGUUUAACUGGGGCGGUGAAAAAUAUUUAAACAUUUUUUAAAUAUAAAGAUUGUAUCGAAAUAACCAAAAAUUUUGAAAAAUAAAUAAGUUACUUUAGGGAUAACAGCGUAAUUUACUUUUAAAGUUCUUAUUGACAAGUAAGUUUGCGACCUCGAUGUUGGAUUAAAGUUCUUGUUCUGUG
rnacentral:rRNA from 1 species